GAAUUAGGGUUCGAUUCCGGAGAGUGAGCCUGAGAAACGGCUGACACUUCUAAGGAAGGCAGCAGGCGCGUAAUUUCCCCAAUGAUGUCGUGUCGAGGGAGGGAAUAACAAUAUGAAAGAGGGGGGCACAUGUCUUCUUCUAUUCAAAUGAGGGAAUGGUAAAUAAAUUCCUGAGGAACAAGUGGAGGGAAAGUCUGGUGCCAGCAGCCGCGGU
rnacentral:rRNA from 1 species